AUUGAACGCUGGCGGCAUGCCUUACACAUGCAAGUCGAACGGUAACAGGUCUUCGGAUGCUGACGAGUGGCGAACGGGUGAGUAAUACAUCGGAACGUGCCUAGUAGUGGGGGAUAACUACUCGAAAGAGUGGCUAAUACCGCAUGAGAUCUACGGAUGAAAGCAGGGGAUCGCAAGACCUUGUGCUACUAGAGCGGCCGAUGGCAGAUUAGGUAGUUGGUGGGAUAAAAGCUUAACAAGCCGACGAUCUGUAGCUGGUCUGAGAGGACGAUACGCCACCCUGGGACUGAGAAACGGCCCAGACUCCUACGGGAGGCAGCAGUGGGGAAUUUUGGACAAUGGGCGAAAGCCUGAUCCAGCAAUGCCGCGUGCAGGAUGAAGGCCUUCGGGUUGUAAACCGCUUUUGUACGGAACGAAAAGCCCCGGGUUAAUACCCUGGGGUCAUGACGGUACCGUAAGAAUAAGCACCGGCUAACUACGUGCCAGGCGCCGCAGUAA
rnacentral:rRNA from 1 species